CGGAAAUUUUUUCGUGGCGUACGGGUGAGUAAAUGCAGAAUUUUCCCUUUCAGUUCAGGACAAAUAACGCUUUAAGCGUUAAAAUCCUGAAUAUUUUCAAAGGUUUACUCCGCUGAAAGAUAAAUCUGUUUAAGAUUAGGUUGUUGGUAAUUUAAAAGCUUACCAAGCCCAUGAUCUUUAGUUGGUCUGAGAGGACGAUCAACCACACUGGAACUGAAACAAGGUCCAGGCUAAUACGUUGGCCAGCAGUGAGGAAUAUUGGAGUCAAUGAACGAAAGUUUGAUCCAGCAAUACUAACUGGGUGAUGACGGCUUAUUAAGUUGUAAGAUCCUUUAAUUAAAAAAGAUAAUGACAUUAUUUAAUUGAAUUAGUUCUGGCUAAUACUCGUGCCAGCAGCCGCGGUAAUAC
rnacentral:rRNA from 1 species